rnacentral:rRNA from 1 species
GAUGAACGCUGGCGGCGUGCCUAAUACAUGCAAGUCGAGCGAACAGAUGAGAAGCUUGCUUCUCUGACGUUAGCGGCGGACGGGUGAGUAACACGUGGGUAACCUACCUAUAAGACUGGGAUAACUCCGGGAAACCGGGGCUAAUACCGGAUAAUAUUUUGAACCGCAUGGUUCAAUAGUGAAAGACGGUUUCGGCUGUCACUUAUAGAUGGACCCGCGCCGUAUUGGCUAGUUGGUAAGGUAAUGGCUUACCAAGGCGACGAUACGUAGCCGACCUGAGAGGGCGAUCGGCCACACUGGAACUGAGACACGGUCCAGACUCCUACGGGAGGCAGCAGUAGGGAAUCUUCCGCAAUGGGCGAAAGCCUGACGGAGCAACGCCGCGUGAGUGAUGAAGGUCUUCGGAUCGUAAAACUCUGUUGUUAGGGAAGAACAAAUUUGUUAGUAACUGAACAAGUCUUGACGGUACCUAACCAGAAAGCCACGGCUAACUACGUGCCAGCCGCCGCCGUAA